AAUUUAUGAUUGGACACCCUUUUUCUCUCUUUUAUCAUUUAAUUUAGUAUAUAUCACACUCAUUAAUUCAAUAUAUUAAACUGAAAAAAUAUAAAUCACUCUCAUAGCAUUCAUAUUUUCCGAUCUACAGUAAGAAUUUGAUCCUUAUAUUGUUGAUAUCACACGUAAUUUAUUGGUCUGCUGUGAAAGGCCUUAGUGCAGUAGGGUGACAACGUCUUGUCCUAUGAUUCGACAACGUAUUCUUA
rnacentral:lncRNA from 1 species